UACGAAGGGGGCUAGCGUUGUUCGGAAUUACUGGGCGUAAAGCGCACGUAGGCGGAUACUUAAGUCAGGGGUGAAAUCCCGGGGCUCAACCCCGGAACUGCCUUUGAUACUGGGUAUCUCGAGUCCGGAAGAGGUGAGUGGAAUUCCGAGUGUAGAGGUGAAAUUCGUAGAUAUUCGGAGGAACACCAGUGGCGAAGGCGGCUCACUGGUCCGGUACUGACGCUGAGGUGCGAAAGCGUGGGGAGCAA
rnacentral:rRNA from 1 species